rnacentral:piRNA from 1 species
UGCCCAGUACCAUGAGUCUGUCUCGUCAG